rnacentral:rRNA from 1 species
AUUGAACGCUGGCGGCCGGCCUAAUACAUGCAAGUCGAGCGUGCGGCGGAAGGGUGAGUAAUGUCUGGGAACACGCGUGAUGCAGGGGGAUAACAGCGGGAAAAGAUAGAUAAUCAGGCAUAACAUCAGAUGUGCCGAGAUGGGAUUAGCUAGAAGGUGGGGUAAUGGCUCACCUAGGCCACGAUGCCAAGCUGGUCUGAGAGGAUGACACGCCACACUGGAACUGAGACACGGUCCAGACUCCUACGUGAGGCAGCAGUAGGGAAGAUUGGACAAUGGACGCAAGUCUGAUCGAGCAAUGCCGCGUGAGUGAAGAAGGCUUUCGGGUUGUAAAUCUCUUUCAGCAGGGAGGCGUUACCCACCGAAGAAGCACCGGCUAACUCCGUGCCAGCAGCCGCGGUAAUAC